UUUUUUUUUUUUUUUUUUGCUUUCUGUUUUUGUUUUUGUUUUUGUUUUAUUGCAGAAAUAGUGUUUUCUCCCUAUAAAUAGUGAUGAAGGAUUAUUGCUUUAUGGUUUUUCUGCAAACCUAAAACCACUGUGCUACCUCAAACUAUAGUGAGAAGCAACAAGACUUGUCCCCUCCCCCAUGGUGAGACUGUAGGUGAUUGGAGCACUGUGGCAGGCUUAGGGCCAGUUUAUCGCAGACAGCAAAGAGCCAUACUCUCUUUCUUUCUUUUUUAAAAGAGUUAUUUAUUUACUUAUGACUGCUCUAUCUUCAUGCACACCAGAAGAGGGAAUCAGAUCGCAUUACAGGUGGCUGUAAGCCGUGGUUGCUAGGACCUGAACUCAGGACUUCUGGAAUAAGCAGCCAGGGCUCUUAACUGCUGAGCCAUCUUCUCAGCCCAGAGAGCCAUACUCUUGAAGAGUAUUUUAUGGGUUGGGAGAUAGUUCAGUUUGUAAAGUGCUUUCCCUGCAGGCAUGAAGACCUGAGUUCUACUCCCAGCACCCACAUCAGAGCACUCAGUGAGUUGUAUGUGUACAUAAUACCAGCAUUAGGGACCAUGAGAUCUUGGGGGCUUGCCAGCUAGCCAGGCUAAAAGAAGUGAUGGGACCCUUUCUCAAAAACUAUAUGAAGGGACACCUGCAUCAAUCUCUGGCCUACACACGUGCAGACACACACACACACACACACACACACACACGCAUACACACAUACACUGACACAUGUAUAUAUACCUCACACACACACACACAGAGGGAAGAUAAUUAUUAAGUGUUUUUUAAGAUUUAUUUAUUAUUUAUGUGUAAGUACAUUGUAGGUGUCUUUAAACACACCAGUAGAGGGCGUCAGAUGUCAUUAUGGCUGGUUGUGAGCCACCAUGUGGUUGCUGGGAUUUGAACUCAGGACCUUUGGAAGAACCGUCGGUGCUCUUAACCGCUGAGCCAUCUCUCCAGCCCCUUAAGUGUUUUCUUGUAUGUUGAUUUUUUUUUUUAAUUACAUUUACUUUGUUUUCAUUUUGGUGAUUCUUUUCCUAUUUCAGAGUGUCUAGAGCAGGGAGAACAUUCUUGAAAGUCUCUCGGGACGCUGCACCCCUGACCAGUGUUCUCUUUAGACCCUGCUGGUUACGUGCGACACCCCUGACCAUUUGCACUAGUGAUGUGACCAGCUGCUGACUGACAAGAGGGUGCUAGAGAAGUGUUCAGUUUAACUUUGUCCUUGCAGGUUUCUAGAACAUUCCUACGAGCAUAACACUUCUUCCUUCUCCCCCAGGUGUGAAGCCCCUCCAGAAACACAGUAGCAUUUGAAAGACCAUCACUGGGCACUGCCCUCAUAAGAGGCGAGGCCUGCCCAGAAGGUGGACUGGGUUAUUAUAGUCAGAAUUCCUGUCCGUUCUGAUCUCCUCCCAGGCCUAAUGUGCUCACUUGCACCCCACCCCACCCCACCGCACCCCAAGAGACUGGUGCCACCAAAUUGCUCUUUCUGAGGAAGCGAGGGUCAGGACUGCCCUGGGUGGCACCUCAGUGGGCUCAGGUGGUUGGAGUCCUGUGACCUCUGCACACUCAAGGGCAGGGCAGGAGCACAUUUAUCUGGACGCGCUGGCGAGCCGCACCCAGAGCAAUGCUUUCUUUGCAGCAUGAGGCUGGUGUAGCCAGGCCGUGUUCACAGGACGCUCGUCAGCAAAUGGCUGACACUGUUGAGGAGAAACAGAAGGGAGCACUGGAAUUUACCCUCUUGUGGGGUAUGAAAGCUCACCAAGUGAUCCCCUUCCUGGGCUGGAGAUGGAACCCAGCUUCAUGUAUGCUAGUCACAUGCAGAUGAUAGGUUUCCUGAAUUCUUAUAUUUUACAUGUCUGAACGAUAGUUAAAGUCCCUCCACCCGAGAAGAAUAGUUAAGUCCCACUGUCUUUAAAGAGAAGGAAGUAAAUACUGACUGCUUGUAGAGCUCUUCACUUUUACCUUGCACCAAGAUUUGUUUUUGUAAGGUGUUGCUUAUCUGUUUUUAAGAGUUUUAUUCCAGAACCCUGGCUGGCCUCAAACUAAUUUCUUCUGCUUUAGCCCCUUGAAUGCUGGGAUUGUCAGGGAUUACCAUGCCUGCCACCAAUCCCCAGUUGAGCUAAAUAGGUACACUUUUAUUGACGUAUGCAUCUAUUGCCAACCCUGGAGGUUGAACGCAGCAUGUAACUACCAGUGAGCUCCACCGGCAGCGGAUGCUGUCUACUUUAGUUUGUGAAGGUUGAAUCAGUUUGAAAGGAACACGUUGUGAGAGUCCUGCUUGUGCACUGGUGUGUGUGUCUGUGUGUGUGUGCGUGCGUGUGUGUGUGUGUGUGUGUGUGUGUGUGUGUGUGUGUGCGCGCGCGCGCACGCACACGCGCGCCCAGGAAGGUCCUAAAUGAAACAGUGUAAGCAGUGCAUAAGCUCGGCUCCCGAGGCUCUCACAGACGUGGUCUGGCAGAGCAGCCACUGGAGUAUGGUCUUCCUGCCCGCCUGUAGGGUGAAAGGUGUCAGAGGCAUCAAGGCGCUGGAGUCACAGUCCAGGCUGAUGCUGAGAGAUCUGUGCAGAGCACGGCCUGUUGGCCAUGAGAGCACAGAAAUGGCCUGCUCUGCUGUGCGCUCACUCAUACAGCACAGAAGUGGCCUUUGUCUUGCUGGAGGCUCUGCAGACCCUGCUAUUCCUUAGUUGCUGCACUGAUAUAAACAGUUAGCUGCCAUACUAGGGAAGGUGUCACAUACCCGCAGUCACAGUGCACGAAGGCUGAGGCAGGAGGAUCACAAGUUUGAGGCCAGUGGGGGCUAUCUGUCAGGACUCUCCCCCCCCCCCCAUUAAAAAAAAACAAACC
rnacentral:lncRNA from 1 species